GUCAUGAUAUAUAUACAGUAGGCAUAUGCAAAGAAUCGCACCAUCCGGUUAAAGUGUAAGAGAAGAAUUAAAAACGUAUCACUCCACGGUAGAAAAGUUCAUCGACCAUUUUUUUACAGAACCAGAAUACAUAUAAAUUCUAAAGCAAAAUGUAAUCCUUCACACUAGAACGUCGCGUCGCUAGACUUUUGUUUAUUGAUU
rnacentral:lncRNA from 1 species